UUCAUUAUAUUUGUAAAAAUAUCGUCACAGAACUCUACGAAAGCAAUUAAAACGCCUCAUUAUCAUCUGCAUCUUGAGGGUUGAGAAAUAGAUUCAUUUUAUGAUGUAGUAAUUAAAGUAGUAAUUAAGCAUGCGCAAAACAUGCUAGCAAAAAAGGAAACAAUUGAUCAAAGAUUACAGUCUUCUUGUAAGCGUGUCUGGACUACCGUCGUGAAUCUGGUCAUUGUCCGCACAGCGAAAAUAAGCACAACGACAGAGUUCAAGCAUUUCCAAGAAAUUCACAAAAGUAAUGUCAUAGAAUAUAAAUAGAUGAAAGUGUAAAAGGAAGUCAUAGAAACGAAUUGAAUAAAAUGAUAGGUACAAAAACAAAACAUCAACAAAUAUAUUCCCAGAUAGUCUUAUUAUUUCAAUGUAUUAUAGGCAUGUAUUAUAUCAGGAAUGAAUAUUCCAAACCUCAGAAUGAAAGAUUUAAAUAGUAGAGUUUAUCGCCUCCACAAAAGUAUUUUAUCAUCGCACACAAAUCUCAGGGUAGUUAGUUCAAGCGAUCACUCAGAAUUUCGCAACUAUGUUGCUCCACAUACGCAGAAUUGUGUGUUGUUUGAUUUUUUUAAAGACGUCCUUAUAUAGCGAAAUAAAGCAGGAAUAAAGCCCAGCUUA